GCCUGACCUCUUGUUUGCGUGCCUGCUCUCUCUAUUCUUUCUUACCGUCACACAGCCGUCUUGCCACUGUGCUAUUCUGACGCGUCCGACCAGGCGCCUCGCCCUGUCUCCCUCUUCAUCACUGUCCGCGUGACCACCAUUUUCGUAGCUGCGCAUUGCGUGAUUUUUUUUUCUCCGCACGUUAUCGCUUGCGUUUCGACUUCCUGUGCCCCACACCAUCUUCAGAAUCGAGGCGCUGUCAGAGACCAUGCACACCAGUGCGCAUGCUUGACACCGGUGUUUCUUUGGUGAGUUGACAGGAACGCGAACGGGUCUGCGCCACACCCAGAGGGACAAAGUCCGGCGCACAUCCUCACGCAAUGUGCUCUCGUCCUCUUUUGCUUGGUGUUUUAUCCUCCUUUUCUUCGAACGCGAAUCGGUCGCCACCCCUCCUGCCACUGCUGCCGAAGCGCUCCCCUCACAGCAGCGAGAAGAAUGCGACAAGGAACGCACACACAUCGCUCGAAACGUCUAGCUCGCAUCUGCGUGGGUCUCUUCGUCACAACCGGUGUAGUAGAGCCACGACGAAGGAGAAAGUGGGCCCCUUGUUCCUUACAUCAAUCGUUUUUUUCAUACCCCAUCGGCAGCUCCGCGUUCUCUUUUCUGCCUUCGAUCCACGAACCCUACACAGCAUUCCCCACCCGCCCCGCUCGCCUGCACCUUGCACGAUAAGCUAAGCAUUUUUGAGUACUGCGUUCUGUGUCUGUGGCUUUGCUGCACUUUAAAGGACAUCAAUAAACACGCAAAACGAUGUCUGUGUUCUUCCGCUGCUCCUCGGCCUCUGUCGUCCCAUCUCUCUGUGUUCGUUCCCGCGCCCCUCCUCCCCUUUCCCCCACUAGCCACCCCCCCCUCCUCUUGGCCGCUGCUCGGCCAUGCGUUGCCACACGCUGCACUCAUAGCUUGACGUUGCUGGUCUAUCCCUCAUCAGGCGAUGCGCUGGUGGCCCAGAAAGAAGCCGCGUAGACGACUAUGUCGGCGACGCUGCUCACUCUCUGUCCCUGUUUUCGAUUACGGGCCACUAUGAUGGUGGCGAUAGUACGAGUAGUCGCCGUUCCCCUACCCUGAAGUGCAGCACGGCUACAUAACGACCCAAACAACGGACACGCGUUUGGCGAGAGGGUCAGAAAAAGACGGCAAAGAAAAGAAGCGAAACGGAAGGGAGCCGCUGAAAAAAAAAGAGAAGGAUGUCCUCGUACCCGUGCUGGGCAUGCUGUAUGUGUCGCACCGCGCCCUCUACACAAUUGUAGGUCUACCGCUCUCACUCCUCCUGUGAUGUGCUCUCGUCUUCUGCCAUCUCCUCUAGGCGACUCUACGGGGCCGCCGUCGAUGGCGCUGCGAUCUUCUUUGUUGUCGCCCUACCGCGAACAAAGCCUCGACCUCUGUGCGCGACGCUCGUGUUUCUGCUUCAUUCUUCUUCCGUGGUCCAAGUCUCUGUGCACAUGCGGGGCUGCUUCUCGGGUUCGCUUCAUGCUGUUUGUGCAUGCAGGGUGUAUGAGUCUUCAUGGCUUUCUACUGCUCGAAGGCCGAAAAGCACGUGAGUAGACGCCGAAACAACUGGCCGCAGUGGUGUGCUCGCCCGCUGUCCACCACGUAGAUGCAGUAAAUCAGGGUGCAGGGCGCAGAAGUGAUGUUUCGACCGCAAAGGCGGCUCCGCAACGCUUCGCCUCGCCUUCUUCGCCUCCUCUAUCGGCCGUGUACUUUCCUGCAGCUGCAAGCGGCAUCAGCGUACACUGGCGUUCACGUCUCUCUCUAGCGCGCUCUCUCUUCUGCCUGCGUCUUCAUGUCCGCUGCCGAUGGUGCGGCACGCUUCUCACGCAAUCACGUCCAUCUCUCCCUUCUUUUUUUUUUGGGGGGGGGGCCUGUGCCACACAUCCGCAUGGGCCAG
rnacentral:misc_RNA from 1 species